ACAGAUACUUAGAGAGAGACAAAGCAAGAGGCAGAGACUUCGAGACAGAGAGAUGGACAAGGAGAGGCAACAAAUGAGACAAACCUGCUCGCGCAGCUGGGGCCACCUGUCACAUGAUUGUCCAGGUCCCAUGCCAUGGGGCCAGGCCAGGCUGGUGCCUGAUGGAGCUUCCCGCCCUCCUCAGUGGGCAUCAUCCCCCGUAGGGCCUGUGUGAGUGCGCUGUGGUCCAUCCGAG
rnacentral:lncRNA from 1 species